AGUUCUGUUAAGAGCUGGGCACAAAGAGCCCUUUGCACUCCAGCCGCAGGAGCGAAGAGGAGCCGAGUCCUGGGGCGUCCAGCGCAGCCUCAAACCCAGGGCAUCUCCGCACUCUUAUUGCGACACCGCUCUGGAUGCUGUUUGCAUAUCUCUCUCUGGGGAGUCACUGCUUUGGCACGACAGUCCCGCGAGGUGCUGGAGUCCUGUCUGUCCUCAUCACACGGACAUGGCUGACCUGUCUCAGUAGUACCCGGGGGCGAAGCAGGGAGCUGGGCGGUGGAGGCCAACGACUUUACCAAGUUGGCUCUGUCACAACACAGGGACCGAGCCUCCUGAGCCUCAAGAUUUCCGGCUGGUACCC
rnacentral:lncRNA from 1 species